rnacentral:rRNA from 1 species
AUGGCGAUCUCCCGGCUCUCCGUGCUCGUCGCCGCCCUGGCCUGCUGCUGCCUCGUGCGGCUCGCCCAAUGCGGCGGCGGCGGGCAGAACUACACCUCCAUGUUCAGCUUCGGCGACUCCCUGACCGACACCGGCAACCUGCUCGUGUCCAGCCCGCUCUCCUUCAACAUCGUCGGCCACUUCCCCUACGGCAUGACCUACUUCCACCGCCCCACGGGACGCUGCUCCGACGGCCGCCUCGUCGUCGACUUCCUCGCGCAAGCGUUCGGGCUGCCGCUGCUGCAGCCGUACCUGUCGCGCGGGAAGGACGUCCGGCAGGGCGUCAACUUCGCCGUGGGCGGCGCCACGGCCAUGGAUCCGCCCUUCUUCGAGGGGAUCGGGGCGUCGGACAAGCUCUGGACCAACCUGUCCCUCAGCGUGCAGCUCGACUGGUUCGAGAAGCUCAAGCCUUCACUCUGCAGCUCACCCAAAAAUUGCAAGAAGUAUUUCAGCAGGUCGCUCUUCCUCGUGGGGGAGAUUGGGGGGAACGACUACAACUACGCCUUCUUCAAGGGCAAGACCCUGGACGACGCCAAGUCCUACGUCCCCACCGUCUCCUCCGCCAUCAUCGACGCAACCGAGAGGCUGAUCAAGGGCGGCGCGAUGCACCUGGUGGUGCCGGGGAACCUGCCGAUGGGCUGCUCGUCGGCGUACCUGACCCUGCACCCCGGCAGGAGCAGGGGCGACUACGACGCCGUCGGGUGCCUGAAGACGUACAACGACUUCGCGCAGCGCCACAACGCCAUGGUCCAGCAGAAGCUGCAGGUGCUCCGGCUCAAGUACCCCGAGGCCCGGAUCAUGUACGCCGACUACUACGGCGCGGCCAUGGCCUUCGCCAAAAACCCCAAGCAGUUCGGGUUCAAGGAGGGGCCGCUGAAGACGUGCUGCGGCGGCGGGGGGCCGUACAACUUCAACCCCAAGGCGAGCUGCGGCGUGCGGGGGUCCAGCGUGUGCGCCGACCCGUCGGCGUACGCCAACUGGGACGGCGUCCACCUGACGGAGGCCGCCUACCACGCCAUUGCCGACAGCAUCCUCCACGGCCCCUACACCAGCCCCAGGCUGCUCUGA